GACGAACGCUGGCGGCGUGCCUAAUACAUGCGAGUAGAACGCACAGUUUAUACCGUAGCUUGCUACACCAUAGACUGUGAGUUGCGAACGGGUGAGUAACGCGUAGGUAACCUGCCUGGUAGCGGGGGAUAACUAUUGGAAACGAUAGCUAAUACCGCAUAAUAUUGAUUAUUGCAUGAUAAUUAAUUGAAAGGUGCAAUUGCACCACUACCAGAUGGACCUGCGUUGUAUUAGCUAGUAGGUGAGGUAACGGCUCACCUAGGCGACGAUACAUAGCCGACCUGAGAGGGUGAUCGGCCACACUGGGACUGAGACACGGCCCAGACUCCUACGGGAGGCAGCAGUAGGGAAUCUUCGGCAAUGGACGAAAGUCUGACCGAGCAACGCCGCGUGAGUGAAGAAGGUUUUCGGAUCGUAAAGCUCUGUUGUAAGAGAAGAACGGGUGUGAGAGUGGAAAGUUCACACUGUGACGGUAUCUUACCAGAAAGGGACGGCUAACUACGU
rnacentral:rRNA from 1 species